CGGACUGGUGAGUAACGCGUAAGGAACCUGCCUUUCGGAGGGGGGACAACAGUUGGAAACGACUGCUAAUACCGCAUGACGUAUCGGGAUCGCAUGGUCUUGAUACCAAAGAUUUUAUCGCCGAAAGAUGGCCUCGCGUCUGAUUAGCUAGUUGGUGGGGUAACGGCCUACCAAGGCGACGAUCAGUAGCCGGACUGAGAGGUUGGCCGGCCACAUUGGGACUGAGAUACGGCCCAGACUCCUACGGAAGGCAGCAG
rnacentral:rRNA from 1 species